rnacentral:rRNA from 1 species
GACGAACGCUGGCGGCGUGCCUAACACAUGCAAGUCGAGCGAGGAACUUCGGUUCCUAGCGGCGGACGGGUGAGUAACACGUGGGUAACCUGCCUUGUAGAGGGGGAUAGCCUUCCGAAAGGAAGAUUAAUACCGCAUAACAUUGCGAUAUCGCAUGAUAUUGUAAUCAAAGGAGCAAUCCGCUACAAGAUGGACCCGCGGCGCAUUAGCUAGUUGGUGAGGUAACGGCUCACCAAGGCGACGAUGCGUAGCCGGCCUGAGAGGGUGAACGGCCACAUUGGAACUGAGACACGGUCCAGACUCCUACGGGAGGCAGCAGUGGGGAAUAUUGCACAAUGGGCGAAAGCCUGAUGCAGCAACGCCGCGUGAGUGAUGAAGGCCUUCGGGUUGUAAAGCUCUGUNUUCUGAGACGAUAAUGACGGUACCA